UCCCAUUGCUAGGGGUCUGUAUUUUAACCAGAAUACAGUGAGACACACCCUUUGAACCUGAUGCGGAUCAUACCGCCGUAGGGAAGCACUUAACAUGCUUC
rnacentral:ncRNA from 2 species